UGGGGAAUAUUGCACAAUGGGCGCAAGCCUGAUGCAGCCAUGCCGCGUGUAUGAAGAAGGCCUUCGGGUUGUAAAGUACUUUCAGCGGGGAGGAAGGGAGUAAAGUUAAUACCUUUGCUCAUUGACGUUACCCGCAGAAGAAGCACCGGCUAACUCCGUGCCAGCAGCCGCGGUAAUACGGAGGGUGCAAGCGUUCAUCGGAAUUACUGGGCGUAAAGCGCACGCAGGCGGUUUGUUAAGUCAGAUGUUAAAUCCCCGGGCUCAACCGGGGAACUGCAUCUGAUACGGGCAAGCUUGAGUCUCGUGGAGGGGGGUAGAAUUCCAGGUGUAGCGGUGAAAUGCGUAGAGAUCUGGAGGAAUACCGGUGGCAAAGGCGGCCCCCUGGACGAAGACUGACGCUCAGAUGCGAAAGCGUGGGGAGCAAACAGG
rnacentral:rRNA from 1 species